rnacentral:rRNA from 1 species
AGUGAACGCUGGCGGUAGGCCUAACACAUGCAAGUCGAACGGCAGCACAGUAAGAGCUUGCUCUUACGGGUGGCGAGUGGCGGACGGGUGAGGAAUACAUCGGAAUCUACUUUUUCGUGGGGGAUAACGUAGGGAAACUUACGCUAAUACCGCAUACGACCUACGGGUGAAAGCAGGGGAUCUUCGGACCUUGCGCGAUUGAAUGAGCCGAUGUCGGAUUAGCUAGUUGGCGGGGUAAAGGCCCACCAAGGCGACGAUCCGUAGCUGGUCUGAGAGGAUGAUCAGCCAAACUGGAACUGGGAAACGGUCCAGGAUCCUACGGGAGGCAGCAGGGGGGAAUAUUGGACAAUGGGCGGAAGCCUGAUCCAGCCAUACCGGGGGGGUGAAAGAGGCCUUCGGGUUGUAAAACCCUUUUGUUGGGAAAGAAAAGCAGCAGGUUAAAACCCCGCUGUUCUGACGGUAACCAAAGAAUAAGCACCGGCUAACUUCGUG